rnacentral:lncRNA from 1 species
GCCCCGCCCUCAGUUCUGCUGUGUGAGAGACAGCUGCCUUUCAACCACGGAGGAGAAACUGAAAACGGAUUUAUAGAAAUAUAGACAGGGCUCUCAAGUUUUGAGUGUCGGCGGGAGUGUGAUCACUGUUUUUUAUCUGUCCAACGGGGGAGGGGGGGCGGGGGUUGGGCGCGCAGGUUUUGUAUCUGUAUCUGACGGAGGGGUGGGUGCGCGCAGGUGAGAGCGUGUGAACUCGCUGAAAUGCGUGUGUCAGUGUGACUUGAGAACACUGACUAUAGAUCACAGUGAGGUGGAUUAAAAAUCUUAAACUUAUAAUUGACUACACCUGUUGCUUUCCAUUGAAUUAAAAAAACAUCUUUCUCUCAGAUAAAGUAAACACAAGCGUGUUUCUGACUAAAAUAAAAGCUUUUCAGGAGAGAUAUAAGUUAUGUGUAAAUAUUUAUAAGACAAUACCUGACAAAAUCUGUUUUAAUGACGUUAAUAAACAUCACUGUGACAGCGCUAGUCACAGUUUCACCACAUCACUUAUCUAACCAGCCUGUACUGAUUUCUGCCCCCCAAUAAUGCUUUCAAUAACCUCUAAUAGCCUUUAAUAGUCUUCAGUAGCCUUUAAAAGACUUACCUGGCGGCCGUGGUGUGUCCACUAAACUCCGUAGUUAUAAACAUCCCGAGGUUAGCAGCGCGCUAACUGACCUGUUUAUAAUGUAAUCCGAGCAGUGACUCCGUGUCGGCUGUUCUAACCUGCUGCUGUUAGCUGCUUGGGCUGAAAGAUGAACUGUAGUGAGCUGUAUUAUCCAGUUAGUGGGGUUAAAACCUUUAUUUGUUUACAGAAACAGUAAAAACGGACUGGCUGAGCCCUGUAGCCCGUGGCUGGGCUGUACUGAAGUAGUGACUGAGUGAAGAGAGCGGGGCUUGUGCUGCUGCAGCUCCGACUAGUGGUUGGAUGAAGAACUGCAGCUUCAUGAUCGUGUGUACUGGACUGACCAGUUGACGGGUUCCGUCUGUAGUGCAGAUAAACACAGCGGGAAAUCUCUGAGAGUGAUCCAAAACAUUAGGACACAUUCUGCUGCUGGACUGUUCAUCUACCACCCACUACUCCAGCACACAGGUGGGCACCAAACACAUAAUUACUAUUGCGAUGACAGAGUCACUGAUAGUUCAACACAAUAACAUAAAAUAAAC